rnacentral:rRNA from 1 species
CACGUAGGGUGCGAGCGUUGUCCGGAAUUAUUGGGCGUAAAGAGCUCGUAGGCGGUGUGUCGCGUCGGCCGUGAAAACCUGCAGCUUAACUGUGGGCGUGCGGUCGAUACGGGCAUCACUGGAGUUCGGCAGGGGAGACUGGAAUUCCUGGUGUAGCGGUGAAAUGCGCAGAUAUCAGGAGGAACACCGAUGGCGAAGGCAGGUCUCUGGGCCGCAACUGACGCUGAGGAGCGAAAGCAUGGGGAGCGAACAGG